rnacentral:rRNA from 1 species
CCUGAUCCAGCCAUGCCGCGUGUGUGAAGAAGGCCUUUUGGUUGUAAAGCACUUUAAGCAGUGAAGAAGACCUAACGGUUAAUACCCGUUAGCGAUGACAUUAGCUGCAGAAUAAGCACCGGCUAACUCUGUGCCAGCAGCCGCGGUAAUAA